AUAAAUCAAUCAGUCAAAAUUUCCCUCACAUCUUUUCACGUGUGCUUUUCUCUCUAUUCAUAAACGUCUUAUUUAAUGAUUAUCGCAUUGAUAGUCUUUCAUCCGUUAUGAAAUCUCCAAAACAUUUAAUAAUUCUUUUAACAAGUUUUCUGUAUAUAUAAUCAUUCUUUUAUCUAGCCUCUGUAUCGAAUCUUAUAUCUACAGUAGCGUGAUCAGCCAAGCCUCAGUUUGUCGCAUUCAAGUAAUAUUACUGUUUAUAUCAUUCUCACCUGGGUGUGUAUUGGGUAUUAUUGCAGGUGUCAUUCAUCACAAUACACAUUUUAAUAUCUCUUUUUAGUUGACAGAUGAUAUGAGAACUGGGAAGUUAAAAUCUCGUAUCCAAUCAUUCCAUUUUUUUGUAAUCUGAAUGCAAAUUGAUUAAUAAUAGAUUUUUUUUUUACUUAACUUUAAAA
rnacentral:lncRNA from 1 species